CAACAGCCUGAGCCGACUAACACAACACUUAUAAUCUGGAUUCAAUAAUUAUCAAAGGUCUUUCUCUAUUUGUUGUGUCUCUCCCUUUUCUGUCAAGUAUUAGCCAGACCUCAUGUCAUUUUAUUCCCACGUGCUUCAAUAUGCAUCUGAAAAAUACCCCCACGUGUUUUUACAUAAUCACAAUGGCUUUUCACAUUUAGAAUAUUAGCAAGAAUAACUUGGUAAUAUCUCAUAGCCAGUCCAUAUUUGGAUAUCCCUGAUUAUCUUUAAAAUGUCUUUCCAGGGCUCGUCUGUUGGAAUUGGGAUGUAUA
rnacentral:lncRNA from 1 species